UCUUGAGUGGCAGAUUAGUGCUCUGGCCUUAAGAGCCAGCCAAGAAACCCCUGGUUUCCUCAAGAA
rnacentral:tRNA from 1 species